rnacentral:rRNA from 1 species
UACGUAGGGGGCAAGCGUUGUCCGGAUUUAUUGGGCGUAAAGAGCGUGUAGGCGGCCGUACAGGUCAGCUGUGAAAACUCGAGGCUUAACCUCGAGACGUCGGUUGAAACCAUCUGGCUAGAGUCCGGAAGAGGAGUGUGGAAUUCCCGGUGUAGCGGUGAAAUGCGCAGAUAUCAGGAAGAACACCCGUGGCGAAGGCGGCUCUCUGGGACGGUACUGACGCUGAGACGCGAAAGCGUGGGGAGCGAACAGG